UCCGGCAUAGCUCAGCGGUAGAGCGGUUGGCUGUUAACCAAUAGGUCGCUGGUUCGAGCCCAGCUGCCGGAGCCA
rnacentral:tRNA from 2 species